UCGCGAGAGGAAAAGGGCUGACCCGUCCAGAAACGAGACUUGGGGGCCAGAGGCGGUGGGAAAUACUGACGGAGCCCCGGCACCUGAAGUAGCAUUCCUGUCUUCUCCGUCUUCCCGUCGGACGGAAAAUAGUGAUGAGGUCGCUGCUCUGAGAGGCAUGGUGGAGACCACAGCUGCACAACUCAGGUGCUCUGAACAGAGAUAUCCAGUACUUCCUCUGUAAACGAAUUUGGUCGCCUGCAGCAACUCUGUACCUGGAGAAAAUUAAAGUGUUGCCAGAAGUUUCCUGAGGCGAGCUGUAGUCUCCAUGGCUGGAUGCCAGUUGUGAUGACAGUGUUCUGCUCCUGGCAUUUCGUCCCUGCCAGAAAAAUGGACGAGACACUGCUGGUGGAUAACAGCUGAAGAAAAGUAUAGUAAUUUCACAGCAACCAUCAGUCCUGUGCAGAAACUCACGGUUUUGGAAUACUAUGUGCACUUUGAGAAUCAUGCAUCACACUUGUCUGAUUCCAAACCGUAACUUUGUAUUGAGCUAGGUCUCUGAUCCUUUAGGGUAUUAUGUUUGUUUAUUCACUUUUUGUUGUUUUGAAUUGGGUCUCCUUAACUAUAUACUAAAAUGCCUUUUAGGAUAAAAAUUAUAUAAAUCUUUAUUAUUAUGUAAGCCUUUAGAUUUAUUUUAACGUAAAGAAAGUUAAAAGAAAUUUGCAUAACAUAUUUGAAAUGUAUUCAGACCAAACUUUAAGGGUCUUAAGUAACAAUGUAGAAAAAUUAUUUUUCUCAGAGUUAGCAUCUCAGGUAUAAAGAAGAAAUAGGUAAACAACCACAGGAGUUGUUCGCUAGUCAGCAGUCAGGCUGUCAUCCUGGCAUUCUUAGCAUCUCACUUACUCCUUACACAUCUUUUUUCUUAGUUCAAAUUCAAAGUAGUGUUUCUAUUUGAACACACAAUGUUUUUAUUAGACUAGGAACUAGUCAUCAUUUUGAUGACUAUUGGCUUUCUUGUUUAAAUCUUCUUCUUAUUUGAUCAUCCAAUUCCUUAUUUAAUAGAGGCUGGUUUAUUUUCUUUUCAUUUUAUCAUCAUAGACAAACUGGAGUUGAUAUUCUAAUUGGGCUCAAAAUGCAUUAUGUAAACCAUACAUUGACACCCAAAACCAUUUUAAAUGAUACAUCCCUGGUGUCUCUGCCAGUCUGCAAAGAGCUGAGCUGGGCCUGGUGUCUUAACCUCUGUUUCUUCAUCUAGUAAAAUAAGAGGCAGGAUAAAGAUUUUUAAGCUGACUUUCAGCUCUGAGACUCUGUGAAUAUCUGACUUAAGCAGACUUGGCUCUCCUUGAAAACCACCUGCUCAGUGUCCUGACCUGAACUGUGAUAAUUUGAUACCAGCAUAAAAGACAUGCAUUCAACAGGCAGGGCAGCAAGAAUUGUCUGUUUAGAAACAUCUGGGCAGGGGUAACCGGUCUUGUCCUCUGCAAUUUACAAACAAGGAAUUAAACCAAGCAAAACCGGAUUAGGUGUGCUCUAGUUUUACAGCACAAUGCAACAGAAUGCGUUGAAAACUGAUUUAGCUUUUGUGAGAGUUGGGUUCACGUCUCGCUCUAUUGUUGACUCUAGAAGGACAAACCUCGUCACUUCUCCAGGCUUCAAUUUACCAGCCCAUAUAUUAAAUAAUGGAGAAAGCAACCUCUGAAUACUUUUCCUUACUUUGUAGAAAUAGAGAAAUUGAAAUGUUCUUGAGAUUCUGUCUUGAACUCUGCUACUGUUUAUAACAUGAGCACCUUUACUUCAAAUAAAAGCAGCCUUCUAAUCUAUGCUGAAGGAUGAAAUAAAGGUGAAUUGUCAGGUUCAAUUCACAUCCAUCAUCCAUUAAAUGCUCUUUUGUCUUGUUUGUUUUGCUACAGAUGACUUGGUAUUUUUGUGAAAACUGCCAACUAUUUUUUGUUAUGACUCUAGAGAUCAUUACCUUGGCCCAAAUUUAUGGAGAUCUGUACUCAAGUGGCACACCUGCUUCAUGCCUUCAUUUGUCUACAUUUUGUUGGUCACUUACUCUGAGUCAAAUCCUCUAGCAAGCUAUUUCUGGGCAAUGAGCUUUUCAGCCAUCUUCUAAGCAUCCCUAGUUGCUCAGAGAUCCUUACAGAGGCAGGAGCUAGAUGGUCUUUUAACCCCCUCCACCUUGUUACCGCCACUUCAUUCAUUUUCAAUAGAAAGUGUCAGGAGUAAGGGGUGCUAACUAGGUAGUAGUUACAUACCUAUUUGCGAUGGAAGCAGGAAGAAAAUGGAAGGCAUUAAUUAAGGAAAUAUUCAUCUCCUCAAUGUUUUUUUACAGCCACUAUGGAAAACAGUGUGGAGAUUCCUCAAAAGACUAGGAACAGACUUACCGUAUGACCCAGGAAUCCCAC